rnacentral:sRNA from 1 species
AAAAUAAAAAGGGGGACCCUCGUCGCGCCGGCUCCCCCCGUGUUGCCCGAACCUAUGUUGCCUCGGCGGGCCCCGCGCCCGCCGACGGCCCCCCUGAACGCUGUCUGAAGUUGCAGUCUGAGACCUAUAAAGAAAUUAGUUAAAACUUUCAACAACGGAUCUCUUGGUUCCGGCAUCGAUGAAGAACGCAGCGAAAUGCGAUAACUAAUGUGAAUUGCAGAAUUCAGUGAAUCAUCGAGUCUUUGAACGCACAUUGCGCCCUCUGGUAUUCCGGAGGGCAUGCCUGUCCGAGCGUCAUUGCUGCCCUCAAGCCCGGCUUGUGUGUUGGGCCCCGUCCCCCCCGCCGGGGGGACGGGCCCGAAAGGCAGCGGCGGCACCGCGUCCGGUCCUCGAGCGUAUGGGGCUUCGUCACCCGCUCUAGUAGGCCCGGCCGGCGCCAGCCGACCCCCAACCUUUAACUAUCUCAGGUUGACCUCGGAUCAGGUAGGGAUACCCGCUGAACUUAGCAUAUCAAUAAGCGGAGGAAUGUUAGUGUGGGCCCUCGGGGCCUUCCUCCGUGGGGGUGCGGAGCUGUGUAGCCUCGGCCGGACCAGCCGC